CCAGACUCCUACGGGAGGCAGCAGUGAGGAAUAUUGGUCAAUGGCCGAAGGGCUGAACCAGCCAAGCCGCGUGAAGGAAUAAGGCCCUACGGGUCGUAAACUUCUUUAGUCAGGGAACAAAGGGAGCCACGCGUGGCGCCGUGAGUGUACCUGAAGAAUAAGCAUCGGCUAACUCCGUGCCAGCAGCCGCGGUAAUACGGAGGAUGCGAGCGUUAUCCGGAUUUAUUGGGUUUAAAGGGUGCGCAGGCGGCAGUGUAAGGAGGGGGGGAAAGGCGGGGGCCCAACCCCCGGCCCGCCGUUGAAACUGGCAGUCUCGAGUUGGAGAGAAGUAUGCGGAAUGCGCGGUGUAGCGGUGAAAUGCAUAGAUAUCGCGCAGAACUCCGAUUGCGAAGGCAGCAUGCCGGCUCCACACUGACGCUGAGGCACGAAAGCGUGGGUAUCGAACAGGAUUAGAUACCCCGGUA
rnacentral:rRNA from 1 species